GAUAAAUGUAUUUGUAGUAAGUAAAGAAUAAUAAAAGAUGCUCUUAUAUGGGAUAAUAUAAUAUUGAGUAUGGAAGUUGUACGAUUAUGUGUAAGAUCGUUUUCAGUAGUAAAAGUCCAGGAGAACAGCGCAACGUGGGUUAUUAAGAAAAAAGGAAACGACGAAAGGCAAAAGACUACCUCGGUCGUAGUAAGCAAAAGAAGGAAAAUCGUGCCAGGGGAGACUGGAUGAGGGACAGAAAGAGAAAGAGAAAGAGUAAGAGAGAAAGUGAGAAAAGGGAUAGUAAGAGGAAAGAGAAGCCAGCACAAGGAAGGAUAAAGUUUCGCUUUACUCACAUUAUUUCCGCCAGGAAACGCGUUUUCGCGUUAUAUCCACUGUCGUUUCUUUAUACGUUUGAGUUGUUUCACAGCUGCGGUGUUGGUCCUCGCUUUUACAGGCCUUCAUCUUUUUUUUUCUUUCUUUUUUUCUCUUUCUCUCUAUCUUUCCCUCUCUUUCUCUCUUUCUUUAUUUUACUCUUUCUAUUUCACCCUCUUACACUAUCUUUCUUUUUAUUUUUUACUGUAAAUUGAUCCCCCUUGGCAAUCUCGUGUCUUUUUUCUCGCACGAGGAAAUAAGACAGAGGGAUGAACGUGCUGACGUCGACAAGAGGAAAGACUUCGACGUGUAGAGAAUUAAAAGUCCAACUAUUCAGAAGGACGAAUUAAGUAAAUGUGCAAGUGUUAUACAAUCAACCGUUGGAGAUAUUAAUUAUUGCAAUAUAUUAAUUGAACGUUUUUUUCUCACUUUUUAUUAGAGCUAAUAUUUUAUUUUUGUAGGUAUUGUGGCUGUGACUUUUUAUUAAUUCAUUUAAUAAUCGUUUAUUGACCGAAAUCGAUAAAUCCAAUACUUUGUCAUUAAAAUUAUUUGACUAUUUUUUCAUUAUAGCAAACAACGAUUGAACGAAAUUCGAUUAAGAUUUUUAUCAGAAGGAUUUCGAAAUUUUUGAUUAUUUCUAAAUUGCGAGAAAAUAAAACGUAGGUAUCCAUCGUAAUAAUCUUUAGAUAAGAUAAAAGAAAUCAGUUCUGCAAUGGAAGCUUAGUUAUAUCCUUCCUACUAUAAUUGUAACUUUACUAUCUUACGUAAAUUUUACAACCCUUGAUUUCCAUGCAUAAACACGAGAGGAAAAAGUCGUACUUUAAAAAACUUCUCGAUUUUUCGAAUUACAAUGUCUGCUAAGGGUUAAAAUAGUCAAUUCAAUUGGUUCUUCUCAUCUUAUAUACGAUAAAUAAAACCCGCAAGACAUCGAGAUAAAUCAGAUUAGCAUCGAAUCUUUAAAU
rnacentral:lncRNA from 1 species